CGGGAGACAGAUACACGAGUUUCGACAAGAUAAGAUUAUUCGUCACAUAAUUCUCCCCCCAAAAAUGUGCCUUCUGAUGACUGUAACUUGUGAAGCAUUAAUUUACAGACAGAUACGGGGCAUACAUUU